rnacentral:rRNA from 1 species
AGAAGCAAUACCGCGAGGUGGAGCAAAACUUCAAAAAUGGUCUCAGUUCGGACUGUAGGCUGCAACUCGCCUACACGAAGUUGGAAUUGCUAGUAAUCGUGGAUCAGCAUGCCACGGUGAAUACGUUCCCGGGUCUUGUACACACCGCCCGUCACACCAUGGGAGCUGGUAACACCCGAAGUCAGUAGUCUAACCGCAAGGAGGACGCUGCCGAAGGUGGGAUUAGCGACUGGGGUGAAGUCGUAACAAGGUAUC